UACAGAGGUCUCAAGCGUUGUUCGGAUUCAUUGGGCGUAAAGGGUGCGUAGGCGGCGCGGUAAGUCGGGUGUGAAAUCUCGGGGCUUAACUCCGAAACUGCAUUCGAUACUGCCGUGCUUGAGGACUGGAGAGGAGACUGGAAUUUACGGUGUAGCGGUGAAAUGCGUAGAUAUCGUAAGGAACGCCGGUGGCGAAAGCGGCGUGCUGGACCACUUCUGACGCUGAGGCGCGAAAGCCAGGGGAGCAAACGGG
rnacentral:rRNA from 1 species